rnacentral:lncRNA from 1 species
UUAUUUAUUUUGAAUUUUAGAUUAUUUGUUUUCUUUAUUUCAAGUUUUAAAUCAUGUGGGGGAAUGUUGGGUUUUUAUUGGAUUUUGUGAUUUAAAACUUAUUAAAACCACUAGAGGAGCCCAAUAAUUAUUAAUGGGCCUCUUGGGAGCCCAACUUAAAAUAUCCAUGUGAGAUAUUUAGUCCCACAUUGGAAACCAAAAGGGUGUUUGUGAUUUUUAUAUAUUGCUUUAUUCUCAAACUAGUUGCUUGGAAGAAAAUAAGAGUAAUGCUCUCGUUUAAAUACACACACGCACGGCACGAGCCGGGCCCGGCGGGCGGCAGCGCGCGCGGUCCAUACACCUGAUUUAUUUUAUUUUGUCGGUUUUAUCUUUAUUUUAAUACUUAUCUUUUUACUAAUCCUAAUUCUUAUCUUUAUUCGUAUAAUCUUAGGCUUAUCUUGUUAUACACGGAUUUGACGCGUUGAAGCAAGAUUCUCGCCUAGAUUAUAAAUAUGGGGCGAGGUUACACGAGUUAAUUAAUAACCCGAGCAUACCUAAAGCCUCUCAUCUUUUUCCACUUUCUGGAUUUUCACCGAGUUUUCUUUUGCUGGAUCUGAAGCUGGUUGGGUUCGUCUUGCGCCACCUUGGAAGCGUGCCGACGAGGUGGAACGUGGUCGUUGUAUCGCUAGGAGUAAUUGCCGGGAAGCCUCGCACGUGGAGGGGUAAUUUCGCUUUUAGGACAGUGCUCUGCACGUCUCGAUCCACAGGCCUUAUCUAAACCUUUUCUUUGUCGUAUUUGUUAUUUAAUUUCAUUUCACGAUUUUCCUAAAUCUGUAAUUAAAUUUUCAAA